AUGGGCCCUCUUGUGGUAGACCCACAUGUCAUCGGUGUAACUAUUUACACUCCGGAGGACGGUGCCUAUAUCCUGGUAGUAGUACUAGUAGAAUUGAGAUUUAAUGCACUUUCUUCCCCGUCUUCCACUCUUCUUCCUCCUCUCUUCUUCUUCCUCCUCUCUUCCCCAUCGUCGGCCGCACACCAUUUACCCCCGCUCACUGCUCGCCCGCCCGCGCCAUCUUCCUUGUCGAAGAAGGAUUGGCUAGUGCUACCGGUUGGCAUCAAGUUCGAUCCCACGGAUCAGGAGCUGGUCGAGCACCUUGAGGCCAAAGUGAGUGUUGACAGCGCGAGAUUUCAGUCUCUCAUCGAUUUGUUCAUACCAACCAUCGACAGCGAGCACAGCAUAUGCUACACCCAACCUGAGAAACUUCCAGGUAUCACACUGAGUGGCCUAAGGAAGCAUUUCUUCCAGCGCAAUUCCAGGGCGUUCAAAAGGGGCACGUGGACACAUCGCAAGAUACAGUCGGAGUGCGGCACGCACGCGAUGUGGCACAAGACCGGCAAUACCUUGCCUGUGAUGAGGACCAACUGGGUGAUGCACCAGUACCACAUCGGGGACCUGGAGCAAGAGAAGGAGCGGGAGCUGGUCCUCUGCAAGAUUUUCUACCAGACGAACACUAGGGCCAGGAGCCCAGGAGUAGUUUGGUCGAGCAAGUUUCAACUGGGCUGUAGACUGACCAGGGUUGGUUUUGUUUUUAACAGGCCCAGCCCAUGA
rnacentral:rRNA from 1 species